AGUGAACGCUGGCGGUAGGCCUAACACAUGCAAGUCGAACGGCAGCACAGUAAGAGCUUGCUCUUACGGGUGGCGAGUGGCGGACGGGUGAGGAAUACAUCGGAAUCUACUUUUUCGUGGGGGAUAACGUAGGGAAACUUACGCUAAUACCGCAUACGACCUACGGGUGAAAGCAGGGGAUCUUCGGACCUUGCGCGAUUGAAUGAGCCGAUGUCGGAUUAGCUGGUUAGCGGGGUAAAGGCCCACCAAGGCGACGAUCCGUAGCUGGUCUGAGAGGAUGAUCAGCCACACUGGAACUGAGACACGGUCCAGACGCCUACGGGAGGCAGCAGUGGGGAAUAUGGGACAAUGGGCGCAAGCCUGAUCCAGCCAUACCGCGUGGGUGAAGAAGGCCUUCGGGUUGUAAAGCCCUUUUGUUGGGAAAGAAAAGCAGCAGGUUAAUACCCCGCUGUUCUGACGGUACCCAAAGGAUAAGCACCGGCUAACUUCGU
rnacentral:rRNA from 1 species